GUGGGGAAUAUUGCACAAUGGGCGCAAGCCUGAUCCAGCAAUGCCGCGUGCAGGAAGAAGGCCUUCGGGUUGUAAACUGCUUUUGUACGGAACGAAACGGUCCUGGUUAAUACCUGGGGCUAAUGACGGUACCGUAAGAAUAAGCACCGGCUAACUACGUGCCAGCAGCCGCGGUAAUACGUAGGGUGCAAGCGUUAAUCGGAAUUACUGGGCGUAAAGCGUGCGCAGGCGGUUUUGUAAGACAGGCGUGAAAUCCCCGGGCUCAACCUGGGAAUUGCGCUUGUGACUGCAAGGCUGGAGUGCGGCAGAGGGGGAUGGAAUUCCGCGUGUAGCAGUGAAAUGCGUAGAUAUGCGGAGGAACACCGAUGGCGAAGGCAAUCCCCUGGGCCUGCACUGACGCUCAUGCACGAAAGCGUGGGGAGCAAACAGGAUUAGAUACCCGUGUAGUCC
rnacentral:rRNA from 1 species